UACAGAGGUCUCAAGCGUUGUUCGGAUUCAUUGGGCGUAAAGGGUGCGUAGGCGGCGCGGUAAGUCGGGGUGUGAAAUUUCGGAGCUUAACUCCGAAACUGCAUUCGAUACUGCGGUGCUUGAGGACUGGGAGAGGAGACUGGAAAUUCAUGGUGUAGCAGUGAAAUGCGUAGAGAUCAUGAGGAAGACCAGUGGCGAAGGCGGGUCGUCUGGACAGUUCCUGACACUGAGGCACGAAGGCCCAGGGGAGCAAAACGGGG
rnacentral:rRNA from 1 species